AUAAAAAAAUAAAACCUACCUUUAGUAUUACCCCCAAUACCCGUAAGGCCAUAACCCUAAUUUCUCCAACUCGUCUCCACCACCGCCAUUCAACUCCAACGCCGCCAAGCCCAUCUCUGUGAAUCCAUUCAACUCCAACGUCUCUGUGUUCAACUCCACCGCUAGCUCUUGAUGAUCAAAAUCCGAUUCUUAUGGGAUGAAUUUUAAAUGAUUAUUGGAUUUCUUGAAUUUCUUUCUUGUAUAUCUGGGUUUAUUCCAGAAACAGAGAAAUUGUUGGAGGGGAAUCGGUGGUUGAACUGUUAUUGAAAUGAUUGAUGUCAUUGAAAAUCCUGGUCAAUAAGUGAGGAAUGGCAAAAUUCAUGUGGAAUUGCUUGGAAAAUUCGGAAGUUUUGAAGAAUUCGAUUGAUCGAACCUAAAAGUAGAUCGAUCGAAUUUUGCCCGAAGUCGAUCGAUCGAACAAAAGUCGAUCGAUCGAAAUUUCCCAGAACUUACUUUUGCAGAAGUGCGCCAGAACACCCAAUCAGGAGCUUCUCCAUGACAAAAAGCAGUUCUCCCUCUGAUUUUCGCAGCAGAACACACUGGUUGCAUGACCUUGGUUGUCUCUAGCAAGAGAGGAACCCUAGAGGGGGUUAGAGGAGUCAUUUUACAUGGGUUUCUAGCCCUAAUUUCCCUCUAUAAAAGCUAUAGCCAUACCUCCUUGUUGAGGGAGUUCAGAAAACAGUAACUAGGUUUAAUUUCGUGCAUUUUGUAGUGUAUUCCAGUAGCUUUUGUUUUUAGACACUUUCUUUUUGUAAAGCUUUCCUUUUAUUUCCA